rnacentral:lncRNA from 1 species
UGGUGCUUCCUCCCGCCCUGCUGGCCGAGCUUCCCGGAGAUGCCGAUGAUGGGCGCCGCCGUGGGCUUGAGGUUGCCGGAGAACCUCUGCGAGGAGCCGCCGUUGUGGGGGAGGUGGUUGAGGUUCUUGAGGAGGCACUUGGGGUUGGUGUUCUCCUUGAGCGAGUCGUCGCGGUCGUAGACGCCGCCGAGGUCCGACCAGGCGAUGUCGUCGCCGAUCCGCAGGCGCGUGGAGUCCGGCGGGUCGCCGGAGAGGUCGCGGCCGGAGGCCAUCGCGGAGGAGGAGGAGAAGGAGAGGGAAGCACGCGUGGGCAGGAGGAGGAGGAGAAACGGGGAGGGUGGCGUGGUCGCCGGCGGCGGGUGGCGUGGUUUUAAAGGAGUCGUGCAGUUUGGUAUAGAUGGAU